CAGGUACUUCUUUCGUCCUAAAAUUCUUGAUUUAGAUUUGUUUAAACAUGAAUGUAUCUAAUUACGUUUUACUAUUUAGAUACAUUUAUUUUUAGACAAAUUUAAGACAAGAAUUUUGAGACGGAGGGAGUACUUA
rfam:Hordeum vulgare subsp. vulgare, WGS project CAJW01000000 data, contig: morex_contig_2549054